UACGAAGGGGGCUAGCGUUGUUCGGAAUUACUGGGCGUAAAGCGCACGUAGGCGGAUCCUUAAGUCAGGGUGAAAUCCCGAGGCUCAACCUCGGAACUGCCUUUGAUACUGGGGAUAUCGAGUCCGGGAGAGGUGAGUGGAACUGCGAGUGUAGAGGUGAAAUUCGUAGAUAUUCGCAAGAACACCAGUGGCGAAGGCGGCUCACUGGCCCGGUACUGACGCUGAGGUGCGAAAGCGUGGGAGCAAACAGGG
rnacentral:rRNA from 1 species